rnacentral:rRNA from 1 species
GACGAACGCUGGCGGCGUGCUUAACACAUGCAAGUCGAACGGAAAGGCCCUGCUUUUGUGGGGUGCUCGAGUGGCGAACGGGUGAGUAACACGUGAGUAACCUGCCCUUGACUUUGGGAUAACUUCAGGAAACUGGGGCUAAUACCGGAUAGGAGCUCCUGCUGCAUGGUGGGGGUUGGAAAGUUUCGGCGGUUGGGGAUGGACUCGCGGCUUAUCAGCUUGUUGGUGGGGUAGUGGCUUACCAAGGCUUUGACGGCUAGCCGGCCUGAGAGGGUGACCGGCCACAUUGGGACUGAGAUACGGCCCAGACUCCUACGGGAGGCAGCAGUGGGGAAUAUGGCACAAUGGGCGGAAGCCUGAUGCAGCAACGCCGCGUGCGGGAUGACGGCCUUCGGGUUGUAAACCGCUUUCGCCUGUGACGAAGCGUGAGUGACGGUAAUGGGUAAAGAAGCACCGGCUAACUACGUG